rnacentral:rRNA from 1 species
GACGAACGCUGGCGGCGUGCUUAACACAUGCAAGUCGAGCGGUAAGGCCCUUUCGGGGGUACACGAGCGGCGAGCGGGUGAGUAACACGUGGGUGACCUGCCCUCAGCUCUGGGAUAAGCCUGGGAAACUGGGUCUAAUACUGGAUAUGACUCCACGGUGCAUGUCGUGGGGUGGAAAGCCUUGUGCGGCUGAGGAUGGGCCCGCGGCCUAUCAGCUUGUUGGUGGGGUGAUGGCCUACCAAGGCGACGACGGGUAGCCGGCCUGAGAGGGCGACCGGCCACACUGGGACUGAGACACGGCCCAGACUCCUACGGGAGGCAGCAGUGGGGAAUCUUGCGCAAUGGGCGAAAGCCUGACGCAGCGACGCCGCGUGAGGGAUGACGGCCU